GGGGUUAUAGUGUUAGUGGUAGCACAGUUGGCUUUUAACCAUCAAGCCUCGGUUCGAUUCCAGAGUGGCCCUACCA
rnacentral:tRNA from 1 species